CGCCUCUCACCAUGAUUCUGAGGCCUCCUUAGCCAUGGGGAACUUGAAGCAAUUCCCGUGUCCAAAAGAUCUCCUAUCAACUCCCUACCCAGGACAGCCUAGAGGGGAAACUGAUGAGAACGAGGAGUUUUGCUUUAUCCACCAUUAAAACUGAAAGGGUUUCCCCCUAAAGAUCUGCCAUCAAGAGCUGAGCCACUGACGCCAUUCCUAGUUCCACUGCUACUAGAAGCCUUCAUCACUUGCAAUAAUAGAGGAUGAUGAUUCAUUACAAUAAAAACAGUAUCUACUCCCCUGUGGAAGAUAAUCCUAGGGAAGUUCUGGAAGAAGUAUUAAAAACAGCAGCAGAGCAAAGAGGGGGAAUGCGUAUCUAAACCUAGGCUCCCACACCGCCCUGGAGUUUCUCCUGUACACACCUGAGGUGCUCCCUUUAGGUCGCCGUGGCCAGUUCUUUCAGCAGGCCAUGCUUCUCCAAGUAUCUCACCCCUCAUCAUCACCAUUUUCCUCAUUAAUUGCAACUCAUCCUUCAGACCUCUGCUCAAAGCUCACUUUGUCAAGGAAGUGAUUCCAGAAGUACUCUAGAUAACUUGCUUUUUAACCCGUGUGUGUGUGUUGUUUUUUUUAAAAAAAAAAAAAAACUCUGGCAGUUUGACACUGUCCCCUCCCCCUAGUCUGUAAGCUCCAAGAAAGCAGGGACCACGGGUUUAUCUAGCUCACCAUUUUAACUUCUAGAACCUCUCAGCUUUGGCACAUAGUAGGCACCCAAAAAAUACAUGUCAAAUGACUGAAUGCUGAGUUAAUCUACUGUGAUCCAAUGGUCUUCCUAUACAUGCCAAAUUUCUGUCAUUUUCUACAGCUAUUUAAUAUUACAAGGUGAUCAUUCCUGAAAUCGUAUUUUUGAAAAAAGCAUAAUGAUGCAAGGGGUUUGAAAUGUACAAAAAUUGUCCAAUUUGUGGGUUUUACAUGUGUCUGUGGUAGGGAAAGAACAUUAGCAGGGAGGGUGUCAGAAGUAAUGUAGGAUCCAGAAGAGCCUUCAAGAGGAACCCCGAUAUUCAAUGAGAACUUAAAUACAAGUGUCCCAAACCACCAUGUUGCUCCAUCAGGGUAGAAAAGGAGAGGACAGGAAGAAAAGGAGCAAGAGAGAAAAAGACCUCUCCCUGAAGAACAGCCAAAGUAUCAUUUGGGUCUGUAAUCCCAGCACUUUGGGAAACCGAGGCAGGAGGAUCACUUGAGGCCAGGAGCUGGAGGUUCCCAAGUGAGCAAUGGUCACUCCACUGCCCUCCAGCGUGGGUG
rnacentral:lncRNA from 10 species